CCUANAGGCGGCAGCAGUAGGGAAUAUUGCACAAUGGGCGAAAGCCUGAUGCAGCAACGCCGCGUGAGCGAAGAAGGCCUUCGGGUCGUAAAGCUCUUUUCGGGGAGAUGAGGAAGGACAGUAUCCCCGGAAUAAGGCUCGGCUAACUACGUGCCAGCAGCCGCGGUAACACGUAGGAGCCAAGCGUUAUCCGAAUUCACUGGGCGUAAAGCGCGUGUAGGCGGCUUGAUAAGUUGGAUGUAAAAGCUCCUGGCUCAACUGGGAGAGGACGUUCAAUACUGUCAGGCUAGAGGACGGCAGAGGGAGGUGGAAUUCCCGGUGUAGUGGUGAAAUGCGUAGAUAUCGGGAGGAACACCAGUGGCGAAGGCGGCCUUCUGGGCCGUUUCUGACGCUCAGACGCGAAAGCUAGGGGAGCAAACGGGAUUAGAUACCCGGNUANUC
rnacentral:rRNA from 1 species